UACGGAGGGGGCGAGCGUUAUUCGGAAUUAUUGGGCGUAAAGAGCGUGUAGGCGGCCAGGUAGGUCGGUUGUGAAAACUGGAGGCUCAACCUUCAGACGUCGACCGAAACCAUCUGGCUAGAGUCCGGGAGAGGAGAGUGGAAUUCCUGGUGUAGCGGUGAAAUGCGCAGAUAUCAGGAAGAACACCCGUGGCGAAAGCGGCUCUCUAGAACGGUACUGACGCUGAGACGCGAAAGCGUGGGGAGCGAACAGG
rnacentral:rRNA from 1 species